rnacentral:lncRNA from 1 species
GGGUGGCCUGAAGACUGAGGAGGGGCAGGUCAGGUGCCCAGUCCAGAGAGGAGGAGUUGAAGAUGACAAGGUCCUUGGCCAGAGCCCAGCACCAACAGCAGCCAGCCCUGUUCUCGGAGACCCUCCCGAGUGUUCCAUGGCUAGCUGUGGUCACCUUUGUGGUCUCAGUGCUGGUCGCCUUUGCUUCCCUGUGCCCUCCCCUCCCCCGGCCUCAACAGCAACAAGCAGGUAGCAGGCGCACCCCACCUCCCCCCAACUCACUUGGGACUGGAUCCACCCUGAGGAGCCUCGGGUCAACAUCCUGUUUCCGGCAAGCCCUCCUGGAGGCCACACAGAGGGGUGUUUGUUCGUAGUGGGCGACGGGAGAGAUGCUAAUCACGUUGGAUAGCUGGUCCCAGCUGAAGGUCAGGAGGUAAGGCGACCCACAGUUAUAAAUAACCGAGCCAGGCUGCUGAGGGCAGCUUGCUGGAUCCGCGCCCCUCUCCGGCCGACCGACCCGGAUUGAUUUCUGACCUCCUGGCUGCCACGGGAACUUGAACCCCAGAGAGCUGAGCGCCAUGACCUUUGGGGGUGGCGCGCAAGGUCAGGCCAGGCCUGGUUCUCUGUCCCUCCGCUUUUGAAUCUGGACUGACCUUAGGGAACUUGUCAACCUUUGAAUUCAGAGGAAGUGAUACUGCCUGCCUCAUGAGACCUGCUGAAACCGUAUUCCGAAGCUUUCUUCUAGGCCAAUAAACUAAUAAUUUAAUGGAGAAGCCAGACACAGAGCAAAUAAUUAUAAAAUAACACGGCAAGCUCAGCAAGGGAGUCACGCCCAGGUAGGCCACGAGAGAGCACGGGAACAAAACAGAGACAUCCAGAGAGUCAGAUCUGAGAAACAGCACAGUGCCGUGGAUCCAUCAUUUACCUACCAAGAUAACUACCUUACUUACCAUGAACGUGAACGAUGCAGGCGGCUAGAGGGCUCGCUCGGUAGCUAAAAGUGAUUGCUACACAGGGGCAGCAAUCUGAAUUCAGUCCCCAGGAGCCAUGGAAAGCAGGAAGGAGAUGACCAGCUGCGUGGUUAGCUUCUGACUUCCCCACACGUGCUGUGACCCACACCCACACCAAUAAAUAUAUUUCUACUUUAUGCGUAU